AAAAAAUUGAAGUUCUGUUUUUCUGUUGUCAGGGCCAAAAUGACGAAGAAAUACAAUCCCAAAGAGAAAAAUGGUAUCACACAGUAUAACAAUAAUGUUAGAAUAAUGACAAGUUCUCUUUCAAUUUCUAUCUUUUUGUAUCCAGUUGAUUAAUGACCAGAAACAUUUAAACAAUUGAUAAUUCUUCCGAGUCAGUGGUUUAAAUUUAAAUUCCUUUAACACAAAAUAUGUACUAUUGAAUUUGAACUUCCUUUCAAUUUGUGGUUGUUAAGAAUAUCGUCAAUGAUCAAGUGCUUCCUUGGGUGCCAAUUUAAACAGUGACGUACAGACGGAGUGGAGGGGUCAAAGCAGGGAUGUGCAAUACUAUCAGGAAAAUAUCCAACAAGAAAUGAGCUGUCAAAAUGACAGCGAUCCAGGUUUUCUGAAUUUUGAAGGAGCUUUCAGGUUUGUUUUACAACAACACAUUAAAAUUUGAAAAGCAUUGGUUGGACUGCAUGUUCACAAGUUAUUUCACGGAAAUUAUUGGCAGCUAGAAGAGUUAUUAUGGAUUAAAAUCUGUCAGGAUGAUGUUAUUUGGUCUCUGAUGGAAAACCAACAUGCAAAACUUUACUUGGAAAACUCAAGAAGAAUAAAUGAAUUAAAGACUAUAUGAAAUGCCUUAUAAUAUUUAGCCAACUCUGUUAGAGAGGAAAAAGAGAGCCAAAAGAUAUCAAAGGGACAUUAAAACUUAUAAGUUGAAAACAAACUGACAAAGCCAUGGCAAAAAAAUGAAAAACAACCAAAGGACAAACAACAGUACACAAUACAAAACAUAGAAAGCUAAAGACUUAGCAACACAAACCCCACCAAAAACCUUUGGAAAAUAACCAUUCUAUUUAUAUCAAAACAUUUACAAUAAAUACUGAUUUUUUUUUAUUGAAUGUUUUGCAUCUUAGUUUACUUCUUAUGAAUACUUUUUGGCAGUAUAUUGAUUAAAUCAGCUGAGUACCCAACCAAAUAAAAACAAUGGCCUACAUCCAGUAAAUUAUAAUUCCAAUAAAUUCUUACAAAUAUUUAACUUCUCUCUAUUUGUUAAUUUAACUAGCAAAUAUUUAUUUACUUUUCAUUUUAUAUAUAAUUUUAUAGCUUAACAAAAAACUAAAAGGUAGACCAAGAUCAAUUUUCUAAAAACAUCAAUAAAACUUUGGUACUUUCAAUAUUUUCAUAUAUUAACAAACUCUUUGUUUAGUAUUAGAAAACUCCUUAAAGUUUAGAUUGAAACUGCAUACAUCAAUUUCUAUUUGAUAUUCAUUUUAACCAAAGCUAUCUGGUUUAUCUUUCUAGCUGACUUUUGGCAAAUAAAUAGUUUUUUUUUGGUUUGUUUUCUACUCUUCAUUUUUUGUGUAUAUAUAUUCAAUGUAUUAAAAUAUAUAAGCUUUUCAAUGUUUUGCUUCUAACAUUUAAUGUAUGAGUUGUUUGGUAACUUUCUUUUCUUUUUAUUCACAAUUUGCAGAAGGAAACAGAUGGUUUAUAUACAACAGGAGAUUGUGUAAUGUAAUAGUUUCAAUGGUGUUAUAAAUAUUAAAAUAUUCUAUUCAUCAAA